rnacentral:tRNA from 1 species
ACUACAAUUUAGCUCAGUUAGUAAAGCAUGAGACUCUUAAUCUCAGGGUUGUGGGUUUGAGCCCCACAUUGGGCA